UACGUAGGGUGCAAGCGUUGUCCGGAAUUAUUGGGCGUAAAGAGCUCGUAGGCGGCUUGUCACGUCGACUGUGAAAACCCGGGGCUCAACUCCGGGCCUGCAGUCGAUACGGGCUGGCUUGAGUGCGGUAGGGGAGACUGGAAUUCCUGGUGUAGCGGUGAAAUGCGCAGAUAUCAGGAGGAACACCGGUGGCGAAGGCGGGUCUCUGGACGGCAACUGACGCUGAGGCACGAAAGCGUGGGGAGCAAACAGG
rnacentral:rRNA from 1 species